UUUACUUUUUUCUUACUUUCAGUUCUAGGAAUCUUUUAUAUCUAUCUCUAUCAGAUAUCAUCCUUGCAAAUAACCGUGAAGGGAUUGACAACCCCUUUUUAGGUUGGGUGUGAGUGCUUGUUUGUUUGUGUAGGUGCUAAUAUUGAGGCCUUUCUUGUUCCCCCUACUCGAUUGAUGCCUUGAUUCUCAACAAACUGAGGGAAAUACUUAUCUACUUU
rnacentral:lncRNA from 1 species